UACGUAGGGGGCUAGCGUUGUCCGGAAUCAUUGGGCGUAAAGCGCGUGUAGGCGGUCCGGUAAGUCCGCUGUGAAAGUCGGGGGCUCAACCCUCGGAUGCCGGUGGAUACUGUCGGGCUUGAGUACGGAAGAGGCGAGAGGAAUUCCUGGUGUAGCGGUGAAAUGCGCAGAUAUCAGGAGGAACACCAAUUGCGAAGGCAGCUCGCUGGGACGUCACUGACGCUGAGACGCGAAAGCGUGGGGAGCAAACAGG
rnacentral:rRNA from 1 species